rnacentral:lncRNA from 1 species
ACAAGGUUCUAGAAAAUACAAAUUUUCCAAAAUAUAUUUUACUCUCCAGUGCAGGUCUUUUCCUCCUAUAUUUCUGCUGUUAUUAACAUGACAUUUUAAGGGCUCUUAAGGUAAUAAUUUAAGGUGACAGCUAAAGCCUUUGUAGGAAAGUAUUUUUAUUUUGGAAAUCCUUUCUCAUGAAAGCUGAAACAAACACUUUAAAAGAGAGAGGUGAAAAUAAAGGUUGGAACACGUUUCUGUGUAAAUAUUCUGCCACCUACAAGCAUAUGGACCAACUGAUUCUCUGCCAAACAUUUGUUUACUUUUGGGGAGGGAAAGCUACAGCAUUGAGGAUGUCUGGAGCAGGCUCUGCACUGUCAUUAUGCUCUCACUGAGGGAUCAAACAUGACAUAGCAAAUCCCAAUAUUUAUUUGUUUCAUCUCUAGGAUAUCCUGAGGUACAGGCUACUAUACAGCAAUGAAGUAACUGCAUUCCUUCAAAGCCUUUUCGAAGAGAACAGGCUUCUAAGCCCAUGUAGACAUUGUCAACUCAGAGUAUGUGAUACAAAGGAGGGAAAAGCUGCUGAAGGCUGGACCAUCAUCAAUAUUCCAAGUAAAUGCCAAAGAAAAAAGGAAUUUCUGGGUCAAAGGUGAAAGUAUGUUUAACUGUACAAGAAACUGCCAAACACGUCUUCAACGUUGAUAAUUCCUCCCACCAUCAACGCAGGAGUGCUCAAGUUGCUUCACAUCUGCCACCCCUUGGCCAUUCUAGUUGGAGUGAAACUGCAUCUCUGUGGUUUGAUUUCAUAUUUCCCUGAUGACUAAAGAUGUUGGGUACUUUUGUCUACUGGGCAUUUGGAAACCACACCAGCAGACAAGGGAAUUGUCCACUGGUUCUUCCCAGAUAAUGAAUCACUAUUCCUGACUGCUGCCAUGAUGGUUGAUUGGAUCCUUGAGCAGACACGCCUCACCUCCCCCCUAGAAGGAAGACAGUGGUCCUGACUGAUAAACUACUCUGCUUCUUGAGUGAGUCCGGGCUUUCAAUCAGGUCUGGGAUUUCUGCAUCUGUGCAGCACAUGGCCAUGUGUCACUUUGGACACGCUGCGUUGGAAAUUUCUCUCUCCUCUGUUUGUCUUCUUUGUACUUCCCUUCUUCUGACCUGGGACAGAAGUCUUCCAGGACUGUGCUGAGAUGCGUGCACACCGAGCGGUGUGUGUGUCAUGACGGUGGAUGGAGGAGGGAGGGAACCCACUGAGAUGCCUGAGCAUGGAAUCCAGGCUUCACACCUCCCAGACAGCCCCUUGACCUGCACGUCCUGGGCUGCUCUGCAGCACCUUGGGUCUCAGCCAGCCAGGUAUUGCAUCACUAUUAUUUUGGAGAAAAUAUUUUCCUACUAUCAAGAGGAGAUUUGGAUAGGAAAUCAGCACUGAUAUCCAGAGGUAGAUGCUAUUGUGAGCAACUGAAUGGAUCCAAGCACUCAUUCCUGGGCAUAUUUUAUUUUGGACUAAAUCAGAAAAAGAGGUUUAUUUGUGUACUUCAGUGAACACAUACUAGGUUUUAGGGAACUGCUAAUCUUUUGUUAAAAUUCAUGGUCUUCUGGGAUUACUUGGUUAUUCAUUACAGGUAUCAAAGCAGAAACUAAAUUCUGCUGUAUUGUGAAGCUUGGCUCAUUCAAUUGGAAAAAUCUUAAUGAUCAAGAGACCAUGUGUUUUUACUCAGAUAUGUUUUAUGACAUAGCUGUAAAAUCUUGUCUCAAAUAGACCUACCACAGCCUUGCAUUGUUUCACAGACAGUAAUAGGACUCACUUCUAAAAUGCCUUUGUAUUAAGUCAAAAAUACUGAUGAAAACUAGAGAGCUUCACACAGGAAUUAUUUAUGACUUUUUUAUUACUAACACAAGAUCUUAAAAAACACUGUGUGUUAGCUUGAAGUGUUAGCUUCAAGUCUGUAGAAAUUGUAGCAAUGGGUGUGUGACAGCCGUGGGCUGUUCAGAAGAGGCUGCCUGGGUCACUGUUAACAACUGUGCUUAAAGGGUUCUUCUUGGCACAAGAAAGUUCCAGAAGGAUGAAAGUGUGAUACGUUGGCUACCAAUCUAGAAAAAAAAAUUUUUCCAUAAUAUUUGAAGGGGGAAAUGGACUAAAUUGUGUUUUUGACUCAGACUGUCUUCCACAGAGAAAAAAAAGAAAGGCAUACCUUGAAAGUUGGAGAACUCUUGUCUUAAGGGGAAGAAGUUCUGUUAACUAUGACCACUUAAACAUACUAAUCAAAUAAAGGAUUAACAUGUAAUCAAGCUGCAUAUGACAUUUAAUAAAUGUGAUA